AGUGGCGGACGGGUGCGUAACGCGUGGGGAUCUACCUUAGAGUGGGGGACAACCCGAGGAAACUCGGGCUAAUACCGCAUAUUGCCUUAGGGUGAAAGCGGGGGACCUUCGGGCCUCGCGCUUUAAGAUGAGCCUGCGUCGGAUUAGCUUGUUGGUGAGGCAAUGGCUCACCAAGGCGAUGAUCCGUAGCUGGUCUGAGAGGACGACCAGCCACACUGGGACUGAGACACGGUCCAGACUCCUACGGGAGGCAGCAGUGGGGAAUAUUGGACAAUGGGCGAAAGCCUGAUCCAGCAAUGCCGCGUGUGUGAAGAAGGCCUUCGGGUUGUAAAGCACUUUCGUUGAGAAAGAAACCUCUUGAGCGAAUAACUCAAGAGAAUGACGUUACUCAAAGAAGAAGCACCGGCUAACUCUGUGCCAGCAGCCGCGGUAAUACAGAGGGUGCGAGCGUUAAUCGGAAUUACUGGGCGUAAAGCGCGCGUAGGCGGUUUGUUAAGUCGGAUGUGAAAUCCCUGGGCUCAACCUAGGAACUGCAUUCGAUACUGUCAAGCUAGAGUAUGGUAGAGGGGAGUGGAAUUUCCGGUGUAGCGGUGAAAUGCGUAGAUAUCGGAAGGAACACCAGUGGCGAAGGCGGCUCCCUGGGCCAAUACUGACGCUGAGGCGCGAGAGCGUGGGGAGCAAACAGGAUUAGAUACCCUGGUAGUCCACGCUGUAAACGAUGG
rnacentral:rRNA from 1 species